rnacentral:rRNA from 1 species
UGGUCUUGACAUGUGAAUGCAAUCUUUUAGAGAUAGAAGACCUUCCUUCGGGAACAUUCAACACAGGUGCUGCAUGGUUGUCGUCAGCUCGUGUCGUGAGAUGUUGGGUUAAGUCCCGCAACGAGCGCAACCCCUGUCCUUAGUUGCCAUCAGGUAAUGCUGGGAACUCUAGGGAUACUGCCUGGUUUAACCAGGAGGAAGGUGGGGAUGACGUCAAAUCAUCAUGGCCCUUACGACCAGGGCUAGACACGUGCUACAAUGGGCGGUACAAUGGGAUGCCAAGUCGCGAGACCGAGCGAAUCCUCAAAACCGUUCUCAGUUCGGAUAGGAGUCUGCAAUUCGACUCCUUGAAGUUGGAAUCGCUAGUAAUCGUGGAUCAGCAUGCCACGGUGAAUACGUUCCCGGGCCU